rnacentral:rRNA from 1 species
ACGUAGGGGGCAAGCGUUAUCCGGAUUUACUGGGUGUAAAGGGAGCGCAGGCGGCAUGAUAAGUCUGAUGUGAAAACCCAAGGCUCAACCAUGGGACUGCAUUGGAAACUGUCGUGCUAGAGUGUCGGAGAGGUAAGCGGAAUUCCUAGUGUAGCGGUGAAAUGCGUAGAUAUUAGGAGGAACACCAGUGGCGAAGGCGGCUUACUGGACGAUGACUGACGCUGAGGCUCGAAAGCGUGGGGAGCAAACAG